UUCGUGCAGUGCCUUUUGCAGUUCGAUAACGAGAAAAGGAGAUCCAAAUUUGGCUAUGGAUCAUCCUCCACAAAAGAAAAGGAAAAAUCAGAAGAUAAGAAAUGUCUCUCUCUGUUUCGUCCUUCACCAUGUAAUGGUAGAUACUGUGAAUCACACCAGGAGCCAAAACCAGAUGCUUGAAGCUUCCAAGAGGCUUCCAUGGCCAAUCGGUG
rnacentral:misc_RNA from 1 species